GACGAACGCUGGCGGCGCGCCUAACACAUGCAAGUCGAGCGGGAAGCUUUUUAAGGAUUCUUCGGAUGAAUUAAAAGUGGAGAGCGGCGGACGGGUGAGUAACGCGUGAGAAACCUGCCCUAUACAGGGGGAUAGCCAUUGGAAACGAUGAUUAAUACCCCAUAUGACCACAGUAUCGCAUGAUACAGCGGUGAAAACUCCGGUGGUAUAGGAUGGUCUCGCGUCUGAUUAGCUAGUAGGUAAGGUAACGGCUUACCUAGGCAACGAUCAGUAGCCGACCUGAGAGGGUGAACGGCCACAUUGGGACUGAGACACGGCCCAAACUCCUACGGGAGGCAGCAGUGGGGAAUAUUGCACAAUGGGGGAAACCCUGAUGCAGCGACGCCGCGUGAAGGAAGAAGGUUUUCGGAUCGUAAACUUAUCAGCAGGG
rnacentral:rRNA from 1 species